AGAUAUUGAGGUCGGAAAUGGCUCCCAGCACUCCCGCAGGGGAGUUUGAGAUGCAGGAUACGCCGUUCUGCUGAUGUCA
rnacentral:ncRNA from 1 species